rnacentral:rRNA from 1 species
GUCUACGACUAUGCCACCCUGAACAAGCCCGAUCCCAUCUGAUCUCAGAAGCUGGUUGGGCCUGGUUAGUACUUGGAUGGGAGACAACCUAGGAAGACCAGGCACUGUAGCUG